UAGGGAGACCUACUGCAUUCCCACCGAAACCCAAAAAUUAAUCGGGGGAAUCAGAUAUCCCAAGGUCGUUACGAGACUAGACAAUUUCUGGCUUUCAAACUCUUUGUUCGGUUCAGCAUCAUAUUUACGGAACUAAAACACAGCAACUUAUCUUGAGUUUUCUACAAAGAAAAUAGCAAGAAAGACUGCCGGAUUUUAACCAGCAAUGAACCUUGAAAACUGCAUAAAGAAAAGAAUCAAAGGGAAAACCUUUUAAAUCUAGCUCGGUAAAAGAGAAAAGAUUUAAAAGGCGUCCAAAAAAGAAGCCCAAAGU
rnacentral:misc_RNA from 1 species